UCCCGUGUGGCUCAGUUGGUAGAGCAUGGCGUUUGCAAUGCCAGGAGUGUGGGUUUGAUUACCACAGGGGGAC
rnacentral:tRNA from 1 species